rnacentral:rRNA from 1 species
GAUGAACGCUGGCGGCGUGCUUAACACAUGCAAGUCGAACGGAAGGGCUCCUGCUUGCAGGGGUACUCGAGUGGCGAACGGGUGAGUAACACGUGGGUGAUCUGCCCUGCACUUCGGGAUAAGCCUGGGAAACUGGGUCUAAUACCGGAUAGGACGAUGGUUUGGAUGCCAUUGUGGAAAGUUUUUCGGUGUGGGAUGAGCUCGCGGCCUAUCAGCUUGUUGGUGGGGUAAUGGCCUACCAAGGCGUCGACGGGUAGCCGGCCUGAGAGGGUGUACGGCCACAUUGGGACUGAGAUACGGCCCAGACUCCUACGGGAUGCAGCAGUGGGGAAUAUUGCACAAUGGGCGCAAGCCUGAUGCAGCGACGCCGCGUGGGGGAUGACGGCCUUCGGGUUGUAAACUCCUUUCGCUAGGGACGAAGCGCAAGUGACGGUACCUGGAGAAGAAGCACCGGCUAACUACGUG